rnacentral:rRNA from 1 species
UCAGAACGAACGCUGGCGGCAGGCUUAACACAUGCAAGUCGAGCGCCCCGCAAGGGGAGCGGCAGACGGGUGAGUAACGCGUGGGAAUCUACCCUUUUNUACGGAAUAACGCAGGGAAACUUGUGCUAAUACCGUAUAAGCCCUUCGGGGGAAAGAUUUAUCGGGAAAGGAUGAGCCCGCGUUGGAUUAGCUAGUUGGUGGGGUAAAGGCCUACCAAGGCGACGAUCCAUAGCUGGUCUGAGAGGAUGAUCAGCCACAUUGGGACUGAGACACGGCCCAAACUCCUACGGGAGGCAGCAGUGGGGAAUAUUGGACAAUGGGCGCAAGCCUGAUCCAGCCAUGCCGCGUGAGUGAUGAAGGCCCUAGGGUUGUAAAGCUCUUUCACCGGUGAAGAUAAUGACGUAACCGAG